rnacentral:ncRNA from 1 species
ACCCAGGGAAGUGGGAGCGUCAAGAAAAGACGGAGGUGUGGAGAUUGAGAGAUGGAAGAGGCGGGAGGGGUUGCUGAGAUCAUACCGUUUGAACCUGCUCGGGGCAAUGCUCGCGAAGGGAAUACCAGUUUGGCUUGU